rnacentral:lncRNA from 1 species
UAAGAUAAGAUUUUUAAGAGGAGAGAGGGAAAGGACACGUGUCGUGAACUCACCAUAACAUCAACAUCAAUGUUUAUGCAAUGCAUGUACACUGAAACUAUUCAACCCAGGUUCUCUUUCCUAGAAUCCAGAGUCGCCCUUAAGACACGCCCUGACUCUCCUGACCCAACUUGUUCGGGUGGGUCCGCUCCAAUUUCCCAUGACCCACAUGCACCUCGUUUUUACCUUCUUUACCCCUCCUUCUCCCUCUUAUUUACGAAACUACCACUGCCUCU